UUUUUGAGACUGUAAUCAGAGUUUGGCCCCAACCAGGUUUCUGUACUAUAACCUCCCAGAAACAACUCCAUUUUAAUCACAAUCUUAUAGGAACUUGAUUUAAGAUUAGUGUUUUGGGCUGAUUUCUGGCUUUCUCUUUGUCAGACAUCUAGCCAAGCCUGUGCUGCGGUCCUGAGAAUGUUCCAGUCAAGAGGACUGACAAGUACCCCAGAUCAGUAACAUAUGGAUCACUGGUUCAGGAAUCUCCACAUAGGUAUGUGAUUAAAGAGUGCCAGAGCCAGUGUCUGAACCAAGGAUGCAAAAUCCUCAGUAUCCAUAAACUAUGCAUAGAGCCAGUCAACACUACACAUUGGACAAGUCUAUUUGUAUGGAGCAAUGAUAGAAUAAAUAUCAUUGGAUUAUCUGGAUAAGAAUAAGCUACAGAUAACAGGCCAAAAGAUCCCUAAAUUAAAUGAUGCUCAAGCAUGA